AGCUCCAAUAGCGUAUAUUAAAGCUGUUGCAGUUAAAAGGCUCGUAGUCGGAUUUCGGGCGGCGGCCAAUGGUUCGGCUCCGUGCCGAUACUGCUGGUCGCGGCCUCCACGCCGGUCGUCUUUCGGUGCUCUUAACUGAGUGCCUUAAGUAGCCGGAGCGUUUACUUUGAAAAAAUUAGAGUGUUCAAGGCAGGCCUCGAGCCUGAAUGAUGGUGCAUGGAAUAAUGGAAUAGGACCUCGGUUCUAUUUUGUUGGUCUUGUGAACUGGAGGUAAUGAUUAAUAGGGACUGACGGGGGCAUUCGUAUUGCGGCGUUAGAGGUGAAAUUCUUGGAUCGUCGCAAGACGGACUACUGCGAAAGCAUUUGCCAAGAAUGUUUUCAUUGAUCAAGAACGAAAGUA
rnacentral:rRNA from 1 species